rnacentral:lncRNA from 1 species
CUUCUUAGAGCCAAGAGGGUUCAGUGUGAGCUUGAGCCCAGGGCAGGUGUGUGCUGGGUGGCUUCUUACCACAGCAAUGCAGACACAGCUCCUUGGCACAUAGACCCCUGUGGGUUCUAGUAAAGCCAGGGGCUCCUUGCUUGCCAGCAGGAGGGCUGGCAUUGCCCCACAGGAGUGACUGGGGAGAGGGGGAUUCCCACCAGGCUCCACUCCCUUUGAGGCUCGAGAGGAAACUUCUAGAUGUCUCCGGGGGCUUAAAACCCCUCAUCCAACAGGAGACAGCUGAAGGACAGAGCCCUAGCAGCCCUGACCCCACUAUCAAUAGAAUUAGGGAAGCUGAGUCUUGGUGGGCUUGAGGCAGGAAGAGUAUAGAGGCCAGGGGGGACCAGGGGGAGGUUGACAGGUGAGGAUCUCUUCUUGGAUCCUGUGCCCUGCCAGGGAAGGACUCAGCUGAGACACAGUUUAAGAUGAAGUUUACUUCACAAAGUGGAGAAGUUGGGGCAGUCUCUCCUGAAAGUGGGGGAGCAUCAUAGUGGAUGCUGAUUGUGGGGUUUUGUGUGUGUGUGUGUGUGUGUGUGUGUGUGUGUGUGUGUGUGUGUGUGUGUGUGAUGUGACACAAGUGUCUCUGUGUGUGCACAUGCAUCAAUGUGUGAUGUGUGUGCAUGUGUGUGUGUGCAUAUGUUUUUAUGAAGGUUAAAGGACAGCUUGCAGGAGUCGGGCCCCACUUCUAUCAUGAGGUUUCAGGGGUGGAGUUGAGGUUGUCAAGCUCCCUCUGGCCCCAUUUUGUGGAUUUGUAAAGGUGUUCUUAUGAACUUUAUGAGAUUGGUGUCAUACUCAUGGGGUAAGGUAACCCUUUUUUCUCCCCAAAUUUCCCCUUUAGGGUAUUUAUUUGCAGGUUUUAGGGAAAGAUCACAGGGGUGUGGGGGAUCAAAUCUGCAGUGCAAAUGGAUGUGGUGGAUGUUGACCCUUGGGCAGUGUGCAUGUGUGUGUGGGACACCUCUGUCCUAGUUUCUGAGCAGCAUGGCUUCAAGGACACGGUGCAGAUGAGCAGCAAGCUGUCAGGAGCUCCGCUACCAAUAUGCAGCUGGGGUUUCCUUGGUUACCCAACACCUACCCUCUGGAAUCCCUAUCACAGGUCCUCCUCUGUGCAGCGCUCCAUCCCUCUGUCAACCUGAGAGCCCAGGUUUCCUGCUUCCUGACAGGCUCCAGGCUCCUUGGCUGGUGGGUGGGACAGUCCCUCCUACUGUGAGGAGUGAAGGCCCAGAGCAGGGCUCUGGCUCUGCUGCAACCACCUCAGACCCAGAGCUGAAAAGACAAGAAGACAGUUGUUACCCAGGCUUGAAGGUCAAAGCAACAGUCGAGCUACAGCAGGCAUUAGUGGUGUUGGGGUGGCCAGCUAGGGCCCCCAGCCACCCCUGAGCCAUUGUCCUGUUUCCUCCCGAUAGGAAUGCCUCCACAGCUGUGUACGCCUGCAGCAACCCUGCCCAGGAGACCUACUUCCAGCAGCUGGCACCCACUGCCCGCAGCUCUGGUUUCCCGAACCCUCAGGAUUGUGCCUUCAGCCUCUCGGGCAAAGCCAAGCAGAAGCUGCUGAAGCAUGGGGUAAACCUGCUGUGAGCUGGGUGCAGCCGGUCUGCUGUCAGGGGGCCGUGUCCCCAGUGCUAACGGUCUGCUGUCAGGGGGCCAUGUCCCCAGUGCUAACGGUCUGCUGUCACGGGGCCGUGUCCCCAGUGCUAACGGUUGAGCAGGACCUUGCUCUUCAGUGGCAGCUGCAUGAAACUGAGUGGGCUCAGGCUCUGUCAUGUGCGAGUGACUGGAGUACAGUGCAGAGCAGGCUGCAGGCUCAGGAAGGCAGCUGCAGGAGUCUCAGCUGACUUUACUUGCGGUACCCAUGGUGCUUUGCAACCUUAUGGUGCUGAGUUCCAGGCUUAUGAAGCAGAUUCCCAAAGGUUCAAAAAUAAAAUGACCAAACUG